rnacentral:misc_RNA from 1 species
UUUGGAUGAACUCUUUGAGCAGAAGGGUGAUGUUGCAAAAGCUGUUCUGGAGGAACUUGAAAAGGUCAUGGGAGCAUAUGGGUACAACAUUGAGCAGAUUCUUAUGGUUGAUAUUAUACCAGACCCUUCAGUGCGCAAGGCAAUGAACGAAAUCAAUGCAGCCCAAAGGCUUCAGCUGGCCAGUGUCUACAAAGGGGAAGCAGAGAAGAUCCUUCUGGUGAAGAAAGCUGAAGCUGAAGCAGAGGCGAAAUACCUUGGUGGUGUUGGUGUGGCAAAGCAGCGACAGGCUAUAACUGACGGCCUGAGGGAGAACAUUCUCAACUUCUCUCACACUGUUUCUGGUACCAGUGCAAAGGAGGUGAUGGAUUUGAUAAUGGUCACUCAGUACUUCGACACCCUCAAAGAACUCGGGAACUCGUCGA